AUUGAACGCUGGCGGCAGGCCUAACACAUGCAAGUCGAACGAGUGGCGGACGGGUGAGUAAUGUCUGGGAAACUGCCUGAUGGAGGGGGAUAACUACUGGCAACGGUAGCUAAUACCGCAUACCAUCGGAUGUGCCCAGAUGGGAUUCGCUAGUAGGUGGGGUAAAGGCUCACCGAGGCGACGGUCCGUAGCUGGUCUGAGAGGAGGACCAGCAACACUGGAACGGAGACAGGGUCCAUACGCCUACGGGAGGCAGCAGUGGUGAAUAUGGCACAAUGGGCGCAAGCCUGAGGCAGCCAUGCCGCGUGUAUGAAGAAGGCCUUCGGGUUGUAAGGUACUUUCAGCGGGGAGGCGUUAUCCGCAGAAGAAGCACCGGCUAACUCCGUGCCAGCAGCCGCGGUAAUAC
rnacentral:rRNA from 1 species